UACGAAGGGGGCUAGCGUUGUUCGGAUUUACUGGGCGUAAAGCGCACGUAGGCGGAUUGUUAAGUCAGGGGUGAAAUCCUGGAGCUCAACUCCAGGACUGCCUUUGAUACUGGCAAUCUCGAGUCCGGAAGAGGUAAGUGGAACUCCUAGUGUAGAGGUGGAAUUCGUAGAUAUUAGGAAGAACACCAGUGGCGAAGGCGGCUUACUGGUCCGGAACUGACGCUGAGGUGCGAAAGCGUGGGGAGCAAACAGG
rnacentral:rRNA from 1 species